AAACUGAGUGGUGGGGUGAGUGUACCCUGGCCAAAGUUAUCAUGCCCAUUCAUAUUAUUUCUGAUAAUCAUCAUGACACAUACGACCCUCCACAUACAUCAGCCAGAGUAAGGCGCGAAACCCCAGUAAAAGGCAGUUUUGACCCCCACAUUUACAUAGAUGCCAUUGGGGUGCCUAGGGGGGUACCUAAUGAAUUUAAAGCUAGAGAUGAAGUAGCUGUAGGUUUUGAAUCACAUUUUACCAUAGUCACUGCCAACAAAAACCUUAAUUGGAUUAAUUAUAUCUAUUACAACCAACAGCGCUUCGUGAACUACACCAGGGAUGCCCUCCAGGGCUUGGCCGAGCAAUUACAGGCCACAUCCCAAAUGACCUUCCAGAACAGACUGGCCUUAGACAUGAUCUUAGCCGAAAAAGGG